CACGUAGGGGGCAAGCGUUGUUCGGAUUUAUUGGGCGUAAAGAGCUCGUAGGCGGCUCGGUAAGUCGGGUGUGAAACCUCCAGGCUCAACCUGGAGACGCCACCCGAUACUGCUGUGGCUAGAGUCCGGUAGGGGAGCGUGGAAUUCCUGGUGUAGCGGUGAAAUGCGCAGAUAUCAGGAGGAACACCAGCGGCGAAGGCGGCGCUCUGGGCCGGAACUGACGCUGAGGAGCGAAAGCGUGGGGAGCAAACAGG
rnacentral:rRNA from 1 species